ensembl:misc_RNA Metazoa_SRP Metazoan signal recognition particle RNA
GCCAGGGGUGGUAAUGUGUGCCUGUACUCCUAGCUAAUCAGGAAGCUGAGGCAGAAGGAUUGCUUGAGCCCAGGGGUUCAAGGCUGCAGUGAGCUAUGAUUGUGUCACUGCACUCCAUCCUACACAACAGAAUGAAAUCAAGUCUUACAUUCUGUUGAGCUACUAUAACCUGUUGAACGACCCCAACCUCUAGGUAGAGCAAUUUGGAACGAUCUAUCAAUAUUUAGAAUGUAUAUAACUUUUGACCUAGCAAUUGUAUUUCUAAGAAUUUAUCCUGAAGAUACAUAUCUUAAACAAUGACAUAUAUACAAGGAUAUCUGUUGUGGUAGCAACAGAUUGUGGGCAACCCUGAUUCCCAUCAAGAGAAGACUGAUUAAAUUAAAUAUAUUUAAUAUAUGUGGAAUCCUAUGCAGUUAUUAAAAAGAAUGUGGUGCCUAAGGAGAGGGGAACCGGCUCAGGUCAGAAACGGAGAAGUCAGAACUCCCGAGCUGAUCAGUAGUGGGAUUGUACCUGUGAAUAGCCACUGCACUCCAGCCUGGGCAACAUAGUGAAACCCCGUCUUUU